rnacentral:rRNA from 1 species
GACGAACGCGGCGGCGUGCCUAAUACAUGCAAGUGGGACGCAAGGAAACACACUGUGCUUGCACACCGUGUUUUCUUGAGUCGCGAACGGGUGAGUAACGCGUAGGUAACCUGCCUAUUAGCGGGGGAUAACUAUUGGAAACGAUAGCUAAUACCGCAUAAUAUUAAUUAUUGCAUGAUAAUUGAUUGAAAGAUGCAAGCGCAUCACUAGUAGAUGGACCUGCGUUGUAUUAGCUAGUUGGUAAGGUAAGAGCUUACCAAGGCGACGAUACAUAGCCGACCUGAGAGGGUGAUCGGCCACACUGGGACUGAGACACGGCCCAGACUCCUACGGGAGGCAGCAGUAGGGAAUCUUCGGCAAUGGACGAAAGUCUGACCGAGCAACGCCGCGUGAGUGAAGAAGGUUUUCGGAUCGUAAAGCUCUGUUGUAAGUCAAGAACGUGUGUGAGAGUGGAAAGUUCACACAGUGACGGAGCUACCAGAAAGGACGCA